AAGUCGAACGAGAAGGUGUAGCAAUACACUUGUAAAGUGGCGAACGGGUGAGGAAUACAUGGGUGACCUACCCUCGAGUGGGGAAUAACCAGCCGAAAGGUUGGCUAAUACCGCAUACGAUUCCCGGUUUGCGGAUCGGGAAGGAAAGCGAUGCUGUGAGUAUCGCGCUCAAGGAUGGGCUCAUGUCCUAUUAGCUUGUUGGUGAGGUAACGGCUCACCAAGGCUUCGACGGGUAGCUGGUCUGAGAGGACGAUCAGCCACACUGGCACUGCGACACGGGCCAGACUCCUACGGGAGGCAGCAGUAAGGAAUAUUGCGCAAUGGGCGAAAGCCUGACGCAGCGACGCCGCGUGGGGGAUGAAGGUCUUCGGAUUGUAAACCCCUUUCGGGAGGGAAGAUGGAAUGGGUAACCAUUCGGACGGUACCUCCAGAAGCAGCCACGGCUAACUUCGUGCCAGCAGCCGCGGUAAUACGAAGGUGGCAAGCGUUGUUCGGAUUCACUGGGCGUACAGGGAGCGUAGGCGGUUGGGUAAGCCCUCCGUGAAAUCUCCGGGCCCAACCCGGAAAGUGCAGAGGGGACUGCUCGGCUAGAGGACGGGAGAGGAGCGCGGAAUUCCCGGUGUAGCGGUGAAAUGCGUAGAG
rnacentral:rRNA from 1 species